rnacentral:rRNA from 1 species
GUAGGGAAUAUUGCGCAAUGGACGAAAGUCUGACGCAGCGACGCCGCGUGAGUGAUGAAGGCCUUAGGGUCGUAAAGCUCUGUUGAAUGGGAAGAAAAAAAUGACGGUACCAUUCGAGGAAGGACCGGCUAACUUCGUGCCAGCAGCCGCGGUAAUACGAGGGGUCCUAGCGUUGUUAGGAAUCAUUGGGCGUAAAGGGUGUGUAGGUGGCCAUGUAAGUCAGGUGUGAAAGCCCCGGGCUCAACCCGGGAAGUGCACUUGAUACUGCUGGGCUUGAGUACCGAAGAGGGUAGUGGAAUUCCAGGUGUAGUGGUGAAAUACGUAGAUAUCUGGAGGAACACCGGUGGCGAAGGCGGCUACCUGGUCGAGUACUGACACUGAGACACGAAAGCAUGGGGAUCAAACAGGAUUAGAUACCCCAGUAGUCC